AGUUGGUGUCGAACCACUUGGUCAUUUCCAUAGCAGGAACAGAGGCAUUUCCUCUGGCCAUGGAGAAAUAAACAUCGAAUCCAAUCUCACCACCAUUCCAGCCAUAUCUAGGUGGAACAGCGCCGAGCAUAGCAGUGGUGUCGAGCAUCUGGUCGUAGUAAGAGAAGGUGUUGCUAGGGAUGUAUUUGAUCCCAGCAUCAGUCAUCUGCUUCCAGAUGGAUUCCCUGAGAUCAGCUGCAACUUUCUGCAAAUCCUCGGCACUGCUCUUGCCAUCCCAGAAAGAUUCCAAUGCAAACUUGAGCUCUCUCUUGGGGCCCAUACGAGG
rnacentral:lncRNA from 1 species